rnacentral:tRNA from 1 species
GCCGCGGUGGCGGAAUUUGGCAUACGCGAAGGGCUUAAAACCCUUUGGGGUGAAUAACCCCUUGUGGGUUCAAAUCCCACCCGCGGCA